rnacentral:rRNA from 1 species
GGAAAAGAAACCAACAGGGAUUGCCCUAGUAACGGCGAGUGAAGCGGCACUAAUUUGAAAUCUGGCUCCUUCGGGGCCCGAGUUGUAAUUUGCAGAGGACGCCUCGGGUGCGGGUACCUACCGAGUUCCCUGGAACGGGACGCCAUAGAGGGUGAGAGCCCCGUCUGGUAGGACACCCAGCCCAUGUGAGGCUCCCUCGACGAGUCGAGUAGUUUGGGAAUGCUGCUCUAACGGGAGGUAUACUCCUUCCAAGGCUAAAUACCGGCUGGAGACCGAUAGCGCACAAGUAGAGUGAUCGAAAGAUGAAAAGCACUUUGAAAAGAGAGUCAAAUAGCACGUGAAAUUGUUGAAAGGGAAGCGCUCGCUACCAGACUUGGGUUCGGCGGUUCAACCGGGGCCACGCCCCGGGGCACUCCGCCGUCCCAGGCCAGCAUCAGCUUUCCGUCGGGGGCAAAGACGUCGGGAAUGUGGCUCCCCUCCGGGGGAGUGUUAUAGCCCGGCGUGUCAUACCCUUCGGGGGGCGACGCGCUUCUGCAAGGAUGCUGGCGUAAUGGUAGCUAGUGACCCG